rnacentral:rRNA from 1 species
UACGUAGGGGGCGAGCGUUGUCCGGAUUUAUUGGGCGUAAAGAGCGUGUAGGCGGCCAGGUAGGUCUGCUGUGAAAACUCGAGGCUCAACCUCGAGACGUCGGCGGAAACCAUCUGGCUAGAGUCCGGAAGAGGAGAGUGGAAUUCCGGGUGUAGCGGUGGAAUGCGUAGAGAUCCGGAAGAACACCGGUGGCGAAGGCGGCCUGCUGGGCAGUUUAGCUGACACUGAGGCGCGACAGCGUGGGGAGCAAACAGG